rnacentral:rRNA from 1 species
GAUGAACGCUGGCGGCGUGCCUAAUACAUGCAAGUCGAGCGAACAGAUAAGGAGCUUGCUCCUUUGACGUUAGCGGCGGACGGGUGAGUAACACGUGGGUAACCUACCUAUAAGACUGGGAUAACUUCGGGAAACCGGAGCUAAUACCGGAUAAUAUUUCGAACCGCAUGGUUCGAUAGUGAAAGAUGGUUUUGCUAUCACUUAUAGAUGGACCCGCGCCGUAUUAGCUAGUUGGUAAGGUAACGGCUUACCAAGGCGACGAUACGUAGCCGACCUGAGAGCGUGAUCGGCCACACUGGAACUGAGAAACGGUCGAGACUCCUACGGGAGGCCGCAGUAGGGAAUCUUACGCGAUGGGCGAAAGCCUGACGGAGCAACGCCGCGUGAGUGAUGAAGGUCUUCGGAUCGUAAAACUCUGUUAUUAGGGAAGAACAUAAGUGUAAGUAACUGUGCACGUCUUGACGGUACCUAAUCAGAAAGCCACGGCUAACUACGUG